rnacentral:misc_RNA from 1 species
GUGAGUAUGAGCUAUACAGAAAAUGAAAGCUCUGGUGUUUCUUACAAGAAGUUGAUUCAUUUUGCUUUAGAAGAAACAAAUACACAUACCCUUUUGUCCCCUUCUCCAUUGCAGGAGAAAUACAGUUCUUUGUUGUCCAUGGAUGACAAAACGGAGCUACAGAUGCUUUCUUUUGAAGCCCAUAAAAUUCGACUCCUUCGCAGUCUAUGUAUUGAAGGGAGCGACGGCAUGCAGGUAUUGGAUUUUGCUGCAUUCCCGAAACCGGAAUUUGAUCUGCCUAUCUUCUGUGCCAACUUUUUCACUACUGCUAAGAUGAACAUAAUUGUACUGGAC